GCGUUAACUCCCCCCCUCCGUUGGCCAUUGAAGAGAACGCUGCGUGGGCUGCUUGAUCAUUUGAGAGUGCAUUUUUCUCCUCCAAUCCGCUACACAGAGCACACUCCCCAUAUGCCCAAUGGGGAGAAGGGGUGGCUCUAACGAAUUUGAAUGAAGAGGGUAGCUUUCGGCGCCAUUUUCGAGUGAGCUGCGAUUGCUUCAACAGCUGAGAGGAGCGGCUGCAGUGAGUAGGCAAGACGAGCUCUGGAGCUGUCGCAAGAGACGGACAUUAUUUUCGGAGACUCGUAAAAUUAUAUACAAAAAUUAUCCCUAAAAAAGAACGCCGAUGGAUAAAGAAAAGGGAUCGAAGGCCAAGACUACGUCGUAUCAGGACUGGGGGAAACGUUAGAUAGUUAGCCAGCUACUGUAACGUUAGCAUUACUAGCGAUAAGAAAUUGGUGUCUGACUUUGCGUCUGUUGAAAUGUAACGUUUAUAAAUGCAUUUACGACAAAAUAAGUGGACCUCUAAAAAAAAUAAGCAAACAUUUUAGAACAAAUAUUUCAGGGUCGAUUGAGUGGAGAAUGACCGGUAGAAUUUAGAUUUUUUUUUUGUUGCGUUUUAGUCCUAUUUUAGAGCGUUCCGUUUGAGCGGGAGGUGGAAAAGCGGGAGGCGCUGGAGUGAAGAGCCAGUCGGCACCGCUGUCAACAACAUGCACUGCGAGAUGAAUCUUCAUAUCGUUGGCUACCUCUUGAAAACACUGCAAGGAUUUUUCUGUAAAGCCGAGGACACCUUUUCAUGUUUGAUUUAUUCAUUUUUUUAAUGUAUUUUUUUUUAAAGGAAUUUUAAAAGUCUUAAUUAUUUCACGAUUUUAUCACGUUUCUAGCUAAGUUAACAUUGGUGGAUUCGCUUGAUUGAAAACGUUAUACAACGUUUUAUGAUGGUUGGCGAGUCUUGGAGUUCCCUUCAGCCACUGAGAGACUACCUGGAUGUGUGUGUGAGUGAAAGAAAGGGGAGGUGUGUGUGUGAGAGAGAAAGGGGAUGUGAGAGAGAGAGAGAAAGGGGAUGUGUGUGUGUGUGUGAGAGAGAAAGGGGAUGUGUGUGAGAGAGCAAGCAGGGGAGAGAGUGAGUCAGGAUGAGUGUAUGCAGGAGAGGGAGCUGGAGUCUGCGAGGAUGUGUGAAUGAGAUGGAGCUGGUUGUGCUGUAGCAGCACAGAAUGGUUUGUGGGUUACACAGAGAUGCAGGCCAUACUGUGCUGCAGCAGUAACGCCUGGACAGACGGGCAUCUGUGGAAUCAUCCAGAAGAGUGUGUGUAUGGGAUCCACCUGCCUCGUCAUUGGCUGCCUUGCUGUAGCAGCACGUAAAUAUUGGAGUUAAAACUACUGCUGAAGCCUCCAGUAUUGCUCGUGCUGCUGAAGCAAAGCUGACCGCUCGCUGCGAGUCUGUCUGCAUGCAUCCCUCACGCGCAGCACGGGAGAACGAUGCGCAGGAGGAGGAGGGGAGACACCGAGAGGGACGCAGUGUGUCAUCUUUAUGACAGGUACAGGCAUGAAGUUAAGUUGCUUUUGUCCAUUUUAUUUCCAUUCUAAUUCAUUUUACAACUAGGACUGUUGUAUUUUAUAGUUCAUUGCUUUGGAACAUGUUCAUGCAUUUUUAUAUCCAUUUGAACUAUCUUUUCACAUUAAAUUACUUGUUUGCAUGAUUUAGUUGGUCCCAUAAUGCUUUACUUUUUUAUGUAAACUCACAUGUGCUGCAUUUUCUAAUAAACGUUUUGAAAGGGUGAA